UACCGUGAUGAAACAACACCUUUUUUUUUUAUUUAUUUCUGGUACCUCUUAUGUCAGAAGCGGCGCCUUACGGUGUCACUUCGAUGAUCUUAAUGGACUUCUGACU
rnacentral:snoRNA from 1 species